UACGAGGGGGGCAAGCGUUGUUCGGAAUUAUUGGGCGUAAAGAGCUCGUAGGCGGUCUGUUGCGUCUGCUGUGAAAACCCGGGGCUUAACCCCUGGCUUGCAGUGGAUACGGACAGACUAGAGGUAGGUAGGGGAGAAUGGAAUUCCCGGUGUAGCGGUGAAAUGCGCAGAUAUCGGGAGGAACACCGGUGGCGAAGGCGGUUCUCUGGGCCUUACCUGACGCUGAGGAGCGAAAGCGUGGGGAGCGAACAGG
rnacentral:rRNA from 1 species